AGAGUUUGAUCAUGGCUCAAAACGUACGCUGGCGGCACGCCUAACACAUGCAAGUCGAACGCAGUAGCAAUACUGAGUGGCAAACGGGUGAGUAUAAUGUGGGAAUCUGCCUUUUGGUUUGGAAUAACACGGGGAAACUUGUGCUAAUACCGAAUAAGCCCUUACGGGGAAAGUUUUAAUGCCGAAAGAUGAGCCCGCACUUGAUUAGCUAGUUGGUAAGGUAAAAGCUUACCAAGGCAACGAUCAAUAGCUGUUCUUAGAGGAAGACCAGCCACAUUGGGACUGAGACACGGCCCAGACUCCUACGGGAGGCAGCAGUGGGGAAUCUUGCACAAUGGGGGAAACCCUGAUGCAGCGAUGCCGCGUGAGUGAAGAAGGCCCUUGGGUUGUAAAACUCUUUCGUCGGGGAAGAAAAUGACUGUACCCGAAUAAGAAGGUCCGGCUAACUUCGUGCCAGCAGCCGCGGUAAUACGAAGGGACCUAGCGUAGUUCGGAAUUACUGGGCUUAAAGAGCUCGUAGGUGGUUAAAAAAGUUGAUGGUGAAAUCCCAAGGCUUAACCUUGGAACUGCCAUCAAAACUUUUUAGCUAGAGUGUGAUAGAGGUAAGUGGAAUUUCUAGUGUAGAGGUGAAAUUCGUAGAUAUUAGAAAGAACACCAAAUGCGAAGGCAACUUACUGGGUCACUACUGACACUGAGGAGCGAAAGCAUGGGUAGCGAAGAGGAUUAGAUACCCUCGUAGUCCAUGCCGUAAACGAUGUGUGCUAGACGUUGGAAAUAUAUUUUUCAGUGUCGCAGCGAAAGCAUUAAGCACACCGCCUGGGGAGUACGACCGCAAGGUUAAAACUCAAAUGAAUUGACGGGGACUCGCACAAGCAGUGGAGCAU
rnacentral:rRNA from 1 species